GGGUAAGCGGAGUUAGCCGUGUGCUAGCCUGCCACAGAACAGGACCGUUCUGAAGGAUUUGUUGCCAUAGAAAUGUACCUGGCUAAAAGGCCUACCUGUUGCUGACGUGUUAACUGGCUCGUCCUGAAGUCCUAUUUAUCCACACCAAUCCAAAGACAGAGGUCACCAGGCUGCUCGUUAUGGCUCACACCUGUCACCAUCAUUACGUGCACCUGCGCAUCAUCAGACUCAUCAUCUCCCUGGACUCCAUCAUCUCCCUGGACAUCUCCCUGGACUCCAUCAUCUCCCUGGACUCCAUCAUCUCCCUGGACUCCAUCAUCUCCCUGGACUCCAUCAUCUCCCUGAUUCCCAUCCCUAUAUUUGUCACUCCCUUUGGUUCCUUCCCCAGGUGUUAUUGGUUCUGUUCCUGUGUUAUGUCUGUUGUUCGUGUUUCUUAUUUUGAAUUAUGUUGUGUUUAU